UACGGAGGGGGCUAGCGUUAUUCGGAAUUACUGGGCGUAAAGCGCACGUAGGCGGCUUUGUAAGUUAGAGGUGAAAGCCUGGAGCUCAACUCCAGAAUUGCCUUUAAGACUGCAUCGCUCGAAUCCAGGAGAGGUGAGUGGAAUUCCGAGUGUAGAGGUGAAAUUCGUAGAUAUUCGGAAGAACACCAGUGGCGAAGGCGGCUCACUGGACUGGUAUUGACGCUGAGGUGCGAAAGCGUGGGGAGCAAACAGG
rnacentral:rRNA from 1 species